GAUGAACGCUAGCGGCAGGCCUAAUACAUGCAAGUCGAGCGGCAAGUCGAGGAGUAAUCUGAGACCUAGAGCGGCGUACGGGUGCGUAACGCGUAUGCAACCUACCUCAUACAGGGGGAUAGCCCGGAGAAAUCUGGAUUAAUACCCCAUAGCACAGCACAAGGGCAUCUGCGAGCUGUUAAAGAUUCAUCGGUAUGAGAUGGGCAUGCGUCUGAUUAGCUAGUUGGCGGUGUAACGGACCACCAAGGCGACGAUCAGUAGGGGUUCUGAGAGGAAGGUCCCCCCCACUGGCACUGAGAUACGGGCCCGACUCCUACGGGAGGCAGCAGUAGGGAAUAUUGGGCAAUGGACGAGAGUCUGACCCAGCCAUGCCGCGUGCAGGAAGAAGGCCUUCUGGGUUGUAAACUGCUUUUAUCUGGGAAGAAAAGGCCCAUGCGUGGGACAUUGCCGGUACCAGAUGAAUAAGCACCGGCUAACUCCGUGCCAGCAGCCGCCGUAA
rnacentral:rRNA from 1 species